UCCCUGGUGGUCCAGUGAUUAAGAUUCUGUGUUCCCAAUUCAGGGGCCCAGGUUCAAUCUCUGGUCAUGGAA
rnacentral:tRNA from 1 species